GACGAACGCUGUGCGGCGUGCUUAACACAUGCAAGUCGAACGGAAAGGCCCUGCUUUUGUGGGGUGCUCGAGUGGCGAACGGGUGAGUAACACGUGAGUAACCUGCCCUUGACUUUGGGAUAACUUCAGGAAACUGGGGCUAAUACCGGAUAGGAGCUCCUGCUGCAUGGUGGGGGUUGGAAAGUUUCGGCGGUUGGGGAUGGACUCGCGGCUUAUCAGCUUGUUGGUGGGGUAGUGGCUUACCAAGGCUUUGACGGGUAGCCGGCCUGAGAGGGUGACCGGCCACAUUGGGACUGAGAUACGGCCCAGACUCCUACGGGAGGCAGCAGUGGGGAAUAUUGCACAAUGGGCGGAAGCCUGAUGCAGCAACGCCGCGUGCGGGAUGACGGCCUUCGGGUUGUAAACCGCUUUCGCCUGUGACGAAGCGUGAGUGACGGUAAUGGGUAAAGAAGCACCGGCUAACUACGUGCCAGCAGCCGCGGUGAUACGUAGGGUGCGAGCGUUGUCCGGAUUUAUUGGGCGUAAAGGGCUCGUAGGUGGUUGAUCGCGUCGGAAGUGUAAUCUUGGGGCUUAACCCUGAGCGUGCUUUCGAUACGGGUUGACUUGAGGAAGGUAGGGGAGAAUGGAAUUCUUGGUGGAGCGGUGGAAUGCGCAGAUAUCAGGAGGAACACCAGUGGCGAAGGCGGUUCUCUGGGCCUUUCCUGACGCUGAGGAGCGAAAGCGUGGGGAGCGAACAGGCUUAGAUACCCUGGUAGUCCACGCUGUAAACGGUGGGUACUAGGUGUGGGGUCCAUUCCACGGGUUCCGUGCCGUAGCUAACGCUUUAAGUACCCCGCCUGGGGAGUACGGCCGCAAGGCUAAAACUCAAAGGAAUUGACGGGGCCCCGCACAAGCGGCGGAGCAUGCGGAUUAAUUCGAUGCAACGCGUAGAACCUUACCUGGGUUUGACAUGGAUCGGGAGUGCUCAGAGAUGGGUGUGCCUCUUUUGGGGUCGGUUCACAGGUGGUGCAUGGCUGUCGUCAGCUCGUGUCGUGAGAUGUUGGGUUAAGUCCCGCAACGAGCGCAACCCUUGUUCACUGUUGCCAGCACGUUAUGGUGGGGACUCAGUGGAGACCGCCGGGGUCAACUCGGAAGAAGGUGGGGAUGACGUCAAGUCAUCAUGCCCCUUAUGUCCAGGGCUUCACGCAUGCUACAAUGGCUGGUACAGAGAGUGGCGAGCCUGUGAGGGUGAGCGAAUCUCGGAAAGCCGGUCUCGGUUCGGAUUGGGGUCUGCAACUCGACCUCAUGAAGUCGGAGUCGCUAGUAAUCGCAGAUCAGCAACGCUGCGGUGAAUACGUUCCCGGG
rnacentral:rRNA from 1 species